CCCUAGUACGAGAGGACCGGGGUGAACGAUCCACUGGUGGACCAGUUGUUAUGCCAAUAGCAGUGCUGGGUAGCUAUGAUCGGACAGGAUAACCGCUGAAGGCAUCUAAGCGGGAAGCCCCCCUCAAAACAAGGUAUCCCUGAGAGCCGAGGUAGACCACCUCGUCGAUAGGCCAGAGAUGUAAGCGUGGUAACACGUUCAGUUGACUGGUACUAAUUGCUCGAUAGGCUUGAUUUGAUCCAG
rnacentral:rRNA from 1 species